UUGCUGUGAAAAGCUGGUUUACUUACUACAAGUCCCAGGGUGCACUGCACCUUUUUCUUAACUUCAGAUAAGAGCAUUGCAUGCUGGGAUAUGUAGUUGGUUUAAAUAGUACGGAGAACUCUU
rnacentral:precursor_RNA from 14 species